CUCGACACAAACCCGUAAAAACACAGGCCGAUCUCGGCUCGCCCAUCGUGCCGAUCUCGGCCUCCCGGCUCUCUCCACUCGCCUCAAUCCCCAAUGGCCGUCGACACCACCACCGCCGCGCCUUCCCACCCUGAAGGCGACGAAGGCGGUGAAGAGGCAGUGCGGCCGCUCCUCUCCGGCGCGCCCGCUGAGGUGGAGGAUGAGGAACUGGACAUCAGGUACGCGCCCUAUGCGCGCCGUGAUGCGUACGGGCCGAUGGGCCGCGGGCCGCUCUCUGCGGCGCAGGUGGCACGGUUAGUGCUGGCGGGCGUCGUUCUCCUCCCGCUCCGUCUCGUCGCAGGGGUGCUCCUGGUCGUCGCCUACUACCUCGUGUGCCGUGUGUGUACGCUGUUUGUGGGCGGAGUGGGAGAGGGCCGUCCCCGCCUACAGGGGUUGAGGAGGGAGGCCGUGCUGCGUGCUGGCCGCGUGUUGUCGCGGGCAAUGCUGUUCGUGUUCGGGUUCUACUGGAUCCCCGUGUCCGAUCGAAGCUUCCCCAAUGCCGAGGAUGUACCUAAAGAUCACUAUGAAGAACUGGAAAGACCAGGGGCGAUUGUAUCUAAUCAUGUGUCAUAUGUGGACAUUCUUUAUCAUAUGUCAGCUUCUUCUCCGAGUUUUGUUGCUAAGAACUCAGUGUCCAAGUUGCCGUUGAUUGGUCUCAUAAGCAAAUGUCUUGGGUGCAUUUUUGUUCAACGAGAAUCCAAAUGUUCAGAUUCUAAAGGUGUCUCAGGUGCUGUAACUGAAAGGCUCCAUGAGGUUUCACAAGACGAGAAUUCCCCUAUGAUCUUACUCUUUCCUGAGGGUACUACUACGAAUGGGGAUUACCUUCUCCCAUUUAAGACAGGAGCCUUUCUUGCAAGGGCACCAUUGCAACCUGUAAUUUUGAGAUAUCCUUACAGGAGAUUUAGUCCAGCCUGGGACUCCAUGGAUGGGGCACGUCAUGUGUUUUUGCUCCUCUGUCAAUUUGCAAAUUACAUAGAGGUGGUUCGCUUGCCUGUAUACUAUCCUUCUGAGCAAGAAAAGCAGGAUCCUAGAGUCUAUGCCAACAACGUCAGAAAAUUGCUUGCGACUGAGGGUAAUUUAGUUCUGUCUAAUCUUGGGCUGGCUGAAAAGCGUGUGUAUCAUGCGGCACUUAAUGGUAAUAGUCCUCGUGCUCUGCAUCAGAAAGAUGAUUGAAAGCCCUUGCAUCACUCUCUGUACACUAUCUGUUGAGGUGAUUGUAAGAAUGUAUGCCAACUUUAGCUGAUCAUGUGAUUCAUGGUUUCUCUGUUUGAGGAGUAUGUUGAUUGAUGAAAACAUUAUACCUAUUUUGAGAUGAAUUCCCUCCUUAUACUACAUUGUAUAGAAACCAUUAAACAUUAUAGUUCAAUAAUAAUGUCUGGCAUAAUUGUUUUGCUUGUUCAAUCAUUGCGUUUUGGCUUCUUGGUUUCCCUGCUUUUGGCCCUUUCAAGAGCCACCACUUGCUUCCAUAACUGAAUCAUCAAUUAUAUUUUUUUCGGGGGAACUGAAUCAUCUACUUGGUCUUCCCUGCAGGACUGUUGUGUCAAAGCUAAUUUGGAUACACAUGAUGAUAGUUUUACCUUUUGUCUUUGUACAUCGUGAAUUAAAUUUCUCAGUGAGGUCAGACACCAUGUACAUGUGUGCGCCUUUGAAACAAACCUGAGUUAGGUCUUUGGGCCAGAAGAAAUAGAGAUAGACGGGUAAAAGUUGAAAACUAACCUCUGUUUAUUUGAUUCGGCAUGUGAUUUGUUUCAUAUCCACUAAUGCGGCGUCCUAAUUGAACUUCUGCCAGUGUGUAUCAAAUAUUAGUCCUAAAUGGGAACUUCUGCCACUGUGUAUCAGAUACUAGGCCUAAUCGAACUUCUGCUUAGCUCAGUUGGUUAUUCUUUUGAUAUUAUUGUUCUAUUUACAAUAGAAGUCCC
rnacentral:rRNA from 1 species